rnacentral:rRNA from 1 species
GACGGAAGGUGCAAGCGUUGCUCGGAAUCACUGGGCGUAAAGGGUGCGUAGGCGGCCGUGCAAGUCUGGCGUGAAAGCCCCGGGCUCAGCCCGGGAAGUGCGCUCGAAACUGCGCGGCUCGAGUGCCGGAGGGGAGAGUGGAAUUCCUGGUGUAGCGGUGAAAUGCGUAGAUAUCAGGAAGAACACCCGUGGCGAAGGCGGCUCUCUGGGACGGUACUGACGCUGAGACGCGAAAGCGUGGGGAGCGAACAGG